GUUGAAACAUCAGUUCCCAUAUGAUCACUGAAGUUAAGCAACAUCAAGCCUGGUCAGUACUUAGAUGCGUGACCACUUGGGAAUGCAAAGUGUUGUAAG